GGGGUUGUGGCUCAGUGGUAGAGCACUCGCCUCACAUGUUUGAGGCCCUGGGUUCGAUCCUCAGCACCA
rnacentral:tRNA from 1 species